rnacentral:rRNA from 1 species
CAGUGGGGAAUAUUGCACAAUGGGGGAAACCCUGAUGCAGCGACGCCGCGUGAAGGAAGAAGUAUCUCGGUAUGUAAACUUCUAUCAGCAGGGAAGAAAAUGACGGUACCUGACUAAGAAGCCCCGGCUAACUACGUGCCAGCAGCCGCGGUAAUACGUAGGGGGCAAGCGUUAUCCGGAUUUACUGGGUGUAAAGGGAGCGUAGACGGCAUGGCAAGCCAGAUGUGAAAGCCCGGGGCUCAACCCCGGGACUGCAUUUGGAACUGUCAGGCUAGAGUGUCGGAGAGGAAAGCGGAAUUCCUAGUGUAGCGG